GAUUAAAGACAAUACAAGGUGGCUAAGAGAUUCUUCAGGCAAAAGCUGCAAUCUAAAUGUGAUCUGCUUUCUCAGUUUGCUCCGCAGCCACAUUGAAUGGACGGGCUCAGCCUUUGUCCCUGUCUCUGUGCUGCUCUUUACCAGCCACUCUCAGCCCCGACGCUCUGUAACUCACCAGGACGUGUGCAGUCUGAAUUCCCAUUCCAGAUUUGCUCCUCAAGCCUAAGGCCAUUAUUCCAUCUCAGAUUAAAACGUAUCUUCCCAUGGGCAGCUGAAAAAGAGCAUGUUUCUUCAGCUUUUCUUGCCACAAAAUGAUAAAAUAAACUGAAAUAAAAUAAUAAUAAUAGAAAGGAAAUCCAAUGUACGGCAAUCCUCAGAGUUCUGGAGUCUAAGAGUGUUGAUCUGCAUCCAUAAAUGUCCUGACCGGUGAGGAGACACAGGCACUACAACUGGAAAGAGAGCAGGAAGGAAAACCUACCAUGUGAGCAAAGUUAAAAAAAAAAGGGGGGGGG